UACAGUUUAUUUAUAUUCUGCUCUAUCUCCCCAGAGGGACUCAGAGGAUUGCAGACCACAUAUGAGGCAAACAUCCAGUGCCUUUUAAACAAUGACAUACACGGACAGAGGGAAAGGUUCAUCUCUUUGUUCAUCUCCAGAGUCUGGAGGCGAUGCUCUACUUUCAGUAAUGGGGAGGUGCUCUUAUUUCAUUUUCCCAUGCCUAGGAACCUGUUAUCCAUAGAUUCUCGGAUAUGUUUUGCAUAUCUGCAUGGGGUGCCCUUUUGCCUUCACGCCAAGGCAGUACCUAUUGAUCUACUUGCAUUGCUUGCUUUCAAACUGUUAGGUUGGUAGCAAGCUGAGGCUGACAGUCGGGAAUUCACCCUGACUUGCGGCUUCGACUGUCAACCCUUCGGUCGACAGAUUGUCCUGCUUAACCUGCUGUGCUAUCACGGGUAGAUAUAAUUCAUUAAGAGGAAUCAAUAUCUAUUUCCUGUCACUGAAGUUCAAAACACCUGGAGGGCCAAAGUUUGCCCAUGCCUGAUCCUAAAGGCACCACACAGGAGGAAAGGGCCAUUUCUGGAAUGAGUGGAGUCAAAGAGUGAGGCCAUGUAAGUAUUAAUAAUAGGCUACAGCUGAAUGCUUUUUUUCUUUUUCUUUUGGGCUACAAUGCCAUAGCUAUGCUGGCAGGGGGAUUCUGAAUGUCCAGUCCAAAAGAUAACACUUGCAAGCUAUGAUUUGGUGGCUGGUCUUGCUUUGCUCCUCAUGCUAAUAGGAUGUUAGGAAUUGUGGGCAUUGAAGUCCAAAACACCUGGAGGGCUGAAGUUUGCCCAUGUCAGCUUUAGGAUGCUAUUUUUCAUACAAAGCUGGCUGCUCCCAACUGAGGGCUUCACAAUCAAUUACAAGAUCUUUACUAUGGAAUUUUAGAACUGCUCUUUCAGUCCAUUUCAGCACAAAAAGGCCACCCUUUGGAAGUUUUGGAUGCUAAAGGUUGAGGAUAGACUUUUUUAUAAUAAGGCCUAUUUAAUUACGUCUAUGAAUCGAACCAAGAAGAGGGGUAAGUAGAGCAGAAUUAGAAUUUAACUGGGGCUGCACCUGCAUUGUUGAAGUAAUGCAGUUUGACACUACUUUAGGUGCUAUGGAAUCACAGUGAUUGCAGUUUUAUUUACAAGAUUUUUAGCCUUUUCUGCCAAGGAGUCACAAAACGACAACUCCCAGGAUGUGAAGCUGCGGUGGCGCAAUGAGUUAAACCCUUGUGCCAGCUGGACUGCUGACCUGAAGUUUGGGUUUAUGAACUAAAGGUUGCUGGUUUGAAUCCUCGAGACGGGGCGGGCUCACGUUUGUCAGCUCUAGCUUGCGGAGACAUGAGAGAAGCCUCCCAGCAGGAUGGUAACACAUCCAGGCGUCCUCUGGGCAGUGUCUCUGUAGACAGCCAAUUCUCUCACACCAGAACCGACUUGCAGUAUGUUCUCAAGUCACUUCUGAUACAAUAAAAAAAACUCUCAGUAAACUUUAUUUAUGGUUCUGUUCUUUGAUUCGUGUUUGGGCGCUGUGUUUGUUCUACAUAGGGACCACCAAAUGCAGCAUUACCCAAACAUGAAUCAAGGAACAUGAAAGGCAUUGCAGACUAACUCAGAGCUAAGU
rnacentral:lncRNA from 1 species